GCCUUCGUGGUGCAAUGGUCAGCACACUCGGCUCGUAUUCGAGAGGUUCGAGUCGUGGAGAGGGCA
rnacentral:tRNA from 1 species